AGUAUUAUGUUCCGCUAAACCAGACAUCUGUAUGGUGCAUCAUGCAGCAUGCGAUAUGCACCGCCCGCCCUCCCACUGCUA